GAAGACGUGCCUUCCCUUCCCCCUUUCCUACUCUGUCUUCUCUCUUUUCCUCUUUCUUCCAUUGGUUAGAUCAGUGUUCAGAUGUUAGGGGUAAGGGGAGAGAAGGAAGUGGCCUCAGCUGAUUCCCCACACUCAGCUUCUCUCCCCGGAGAGAAGUGCGUUUGAGUUCUGGCCAAGGGCGUAGGAGCCAGUUACCCCCUGUGAAAGCAGGACAGAUAUCCAGCCCCCUUCAACCCUGCAGAGCUGGGCAGAGCUGUGGGGCGUGUGUGGAGGGAAUGGCAAGACACUGAGUGGGCUUGGGACCCUGCGAUGGGAGGGAAUGGAGGAAGCAGAGGCUUGACGUUCUUGGCUGUGCCUGGGAAAGUGAAACCAGCCUUCUCUGUGGUUUUCUGGCUCCAUCUCUGCUCCAGGUUGACAUGAGAGCUAGGUGGGAGGUGCAUCUGAAGGUCUGUCCAAGAACAAGUUUUGGGGAGAGUGGGUUGGCCUCUCAUGGCCCAGGGGCGGGUCAGAACCUCAGGAACUGUAAAUCCUGGACUCAUUAUCCCAAAGCGACAUGGGCCCCAUGCCGUGCCAGGUGCUGGGGGUGGAGCCGGAAGCCUGAGCACAUCCAGGUCUUGUGGGCUUCCCGGAAAAGACAGGACCGAAGAGAGACCAGAUGCAGGCCGUCACGCUCACCUGGACCUCUGCCUGCACAUCACACAGCUCUUGGUCCCGCUCCCGCCACCGAAGCAGCCAUCCCCUCUGUGCUUUCGUCUUCCUGCAGCAGCCUUUGGAUGUCCCUCCUCCCCAAGGUCAAGGCCACAGAUUCAACCAGACUCGAGAGCCGGGUUUGCCCUUUCUUGGCUGUUUGACCCAGAGCAAGAUGCUUCACCUCCCUUCAGCCUCAGUUUCCUCAUCUGUGAAAUGGGGAAAUUCGCUCCAGCCUUGUGUAGAGAGGACAGUGACAGAGGGGAACCCUGAUGUGAUGUUUCCCAACCAGUAUUGGUCCAAUAACACACCUGCUCUACCAACUGUAUCAUGAAGUUCUUCCAAUUUUUAUUUUUGUGUGUGUGGUGAAACACAGACAACAUAAAAUUUACCAUCCUAACCAUUUUUAAGUGUCCACACUUCAGGGGCAUGAAGUACAUCCAUAAUAUAGGGCAGCCGUUACUUCCAUCCAUCUCAGCACUCUUUCUUUUUAAAAAAUUUUUUUAAUUAAUUUUUUUAUUAAAGUAUAGUUGAUUUACAAAAUUUCAUUAAUUUCUGCUGCACAGCAAGGAGACUCAGUUACACAAGUUUAUACACUCCUUUAUUAUAUUCUUUUCCAUUAUGGUUUAUCCCGGGAUAUUGAAUAGAGUUCCCUCUGCUCUACAGUGGGACCUUGGUGUUUAUCCAUUCUAUACGUAACAGUUUAUAUCUACUAACCCCAGACUCCCAGUCCAUCCCUCCCCCACCCCCUUCCCAUUGGCAACCUCCAGAACGCUUUCCAUCUUGCAAAACUGUAACUGUCCCCAUGAAACACUAAUUCCCCAUUCCCUUCCACCCAGCCCCUGGCAACCACCAUUCUACUUUCCGUUUCUAAGAAUUUAAUUCCUCCAAGUAGCUCACGUAAGUGGCAUCACACAGCGUUCGUCCUUUUGUGAUUGGGUUCUUUCACCUAAUGUCACGUGAGAUAAGUUUCAUCCACGCUGUAGCCUGUGUCAGAAUGUCUUUCCUUUUUAAGGCUGAAUAAUACUCCUCUAUAUGUCUAGACCGAAUUUUAAUUAUCCUUUCAUCUACCAGUGGACACUGGGGUUGCUUCCACCCUUCUGCUGCUAUGAAUACUGCUGCUGUGAUCAUGGGUGUGCAACACCUGUCCAGGACUCUGCUUUCAGUCCUUUUGGGUACGUACCCAAAGUGGAAUUGUUGGGUCCUAUGGUUAUUGUAGAUUGCUAAAAUUUUGGUCAUUCAAGAAACCUGGAAAACGUAGUUUAUCUCUCCUCUGUGAAGAUAAUUCCUUGCUUCUGUGUCACUCUUGACAGUUUGCCAAGCACUGUUAUGCACUCCCUUCUCCGGGCACAGGUAGUAGCAAGAGCAGGGGACAGGAGUUUGGGGCCUGCGCAAGCGAACUUGAAGGUGGCUAAGGCUGGAGUGGGCGGGCUGCCACGUCCUCUCAACAUCAGCAGAGUGGCAACCUGAAGACCACAGAGGUUAGCCUUGGCGAGGGGCUGGGGAGGCAGGAGACGGCUCAUCAACAUCGUGCCCCAGCCUGGGCUGAGCCCUCCCAGUGAGUCCCAGAGCUCUCCUGGGAGGUGGAUGCAUUUUCCCAAUUGUGCAUUCCUUUGUUUCUGGAACAAAUGUCUGCUCUGUGUCUGGCAUUGUCUUAGGUGCUGGGGAUACUGGAGUGAGCCUGACAGGCAGUGAGCCCUCUUUCCAGGGGCUUCAGUUCUAAACGAAUAGCUCAGCACCAUAUUCCCAGUGUGUUGCCGGGUUUUGCUUUCCUACUGCUCACAACAAACUCUGUCUUCAUCUGACAGAUGGAGAGCCUGAGCGCAGAGAGGUUCAGUCGCUUGCCUGAGGUCACGGGGUGGGAGAGGGGUAGGGCUAGGAUUGCACCCAGCCUCCUGACUCCCUAGAAGGGGGAGGCAACACACGUGAAGGAUUCAGCAAAAUGACAACCCCAGCUACUGUAGGGGCUUGGAAGACGAUGGUGCAGGUUGAUGAGAUGGGGCAGGUUAAGGGGUUGGGAAAGGCUUUUGGAGGAGGUGACAUUGGACUGAGACCUGAGUGAUUUGUGAAGUCAUAUGACAGGAGGAGAUUAGGGACCGAUCACCCAUGCAGAGGCAUUGGCACAUGCAGAGGUCCCUCUGGCUUGGAUUCUGAGUCCUCCAAGGGCAAAAUGUAUUCUUCCUGUAAGCUGUUAAUAGGAUCCAUCUUACAAAUGAAUCACAAUAUUUGAGCUGCAUCCGCGUGCCGAGUGACACUUUGUCAAGGUUGUUUCCAAAAAGAUCUUUGGAUAAAACUAUAUUCAUUUAGAUUUGGCUACUAGAUCUUGUUGACUCAUGAUAUCUGUCAAGGUUUCCCAGAUUUCCAGCAGUCUCUAAAAUCGUGGGCGUGGGUCGCUGAAGGAUGUCCUUCAGAGGAUGCCGUGCACCGUAAUGGCUGACGUUCUCUGGGUCACGGGGCGGGAGCAGAGGCUGACAGCACCUUGGUCAGCGGUGCCUGCAGAGCGUACCAGCGCGGAGACUCUCCCACCCACCCUGACCUUGGAUUCACGCGGCAGCUCCUGCAAAACGACAGUCUCCUGCCUGCUGUGGGCUUCAGCUUCUCUGAGGAGCCAGGCGGGGGCCCAGGCUUUCCCAGGGGCUUUUGUUGAAUCUUUUGGGACUUUGUACCCUCAUGCCUUCUUGACAGAUGAGGAAACUGAGGCUUUCCCAUGGCCAGCGACUGUGCCGGGGCCGCAUCGAACCCAACUCUGCCCCAGAUCAGCUCUCUCAACCACGACAUGUACUGCAGUGCUAGAUUCUAGGUCACCUUUGCAAUUUCUAUCAAAAAGGAUCUGGCCAGGUAGAUAAUCUGAACAGUGCUAUGGUGGGUUUAUGUUCAAGCCCUUGAGGGGGAGCUGCUGUAAGGACCCGAGAACUGACAUGCCUCAACGGCAGCCCACUUUCAUCUGUUCAUUUAGUUGGUCCUUAUGGCUCAUGGAAUCAGGGCCCUGUCUGGGCAGCGCUUUGGGAGUUGAGUUUAAGGAGGCUGAGCUGCCUCACUGUGUGUGUCCCAAAGCAGCCAAUGUUAUUUUUCGAGGAGUAUUUGGUACUUCAGCAUUUUGACUAAAUCGGGCAGACUCGUUUCCUUUCCCAAAGUGGUCGAGAAUUUUUUUUUUUUUUUUUUUUU